GAGUUUGAUCGUGGCUCAGAUUGAACGCUGGCGGCAGGCCCUAACACAUGCAAGUCGAGCGGUAGAGAGAAGCUUGCUUCUCUUGAGAGCGGCGGACGGGUGAGUAAUGCCUAGGAAUCUGCCUGGUAGUGGGGGGAUAACGCUCGGAAACGGACGCUAAUACCGCAUACGUCCUACGGGAGAAAGCAGGGGACCUUCGGGCCUUGCGCUAUCAGAUGAGCCUAGGUCGGAUUAGCUAGUUGGUGAGGUAAUGGCUCACCAAGGCGACGAUCCGUAACUGGUCUGAGAGGAUGAUCAGUCACACUGGAACUGAGACACGGUCCAGACUCUACGGGAGGCAGCAGUGGGGAAUAUUGGACAAUGGGCGAAAGCCUGAUCCAGCCAUGCCGCGUGUGUGAAGAAGGUCUUCGGAUUGUAAAGCACUUUAAGUUGGGAGGAAGGGCAGUAAAUU
rnacentral:rRNA from 1 species